CUUGUCAACAUGACUGGGAGAAAAGGGAAGCAGGUACUAGAGGAAAAUGAAGGGAACUGCUCCUGGAUGAUCCCAAAUCUGCCAGUUGGAAUAAUCUUGACCAAAGAGCACUCUCAGAACACUACUGGCUGCUGGUCUUUUUCCAGUAUCUGCCCAUGUCUGGCGUCUGCUACUGGACAAACCAUGCAGCCCCCAGCAGACCUAGGAGGAGGCCCCUGCAAACUCUCAAGAGCCCAGGAGUAAACCCACACUGUGGAAGCGGAGAGAGCAUCUGAAAGAGAAGCUAAGGUGUGGAUCACUUUAACACAACUGUAAAUGAUAUGACGAGGAAAAAAAGUAACUCUGUCACAUGCACCCACUUGAAUUCCAAUGCCCAUAUAGCUUUCCCUAGCUGCUGUAACAAGCUCCAUUAACCCUUCCAACAACACCCGAAGUUACCUCUGGCAUCAUCAAACACACUGUUGUUGCUUUUGAUGAUCCAGCAUUCCAAACAGAACUUCUAAACUCAGACUACAUUUUUUCUCAAAUAAUAGAGUUCACCUUAUCUACCCAUCUAAAAAUUUUCGUAUAUACUGAAACAGAACAGAAUAUCCAUGCAACUGGAACCCUUCCUAUACCUUUUGUUAAGGGCUGAAUAAAUUUUUCAGAAGUUAUUAAGCUGGAACUGAUAGAUGGAAAAACAGACUCUGGAAUGAGCAAAAACAUUUCUUUAAGAAAUCAACUUUAAAUGAUCUCUUCCCUACAAAUGGAACAUUUCACUAAAAAAUAGGAAUCUCUAUAUUUCUAAUUAAAAACUUUUUUCUCCAAACUAAUUAUAUUCCUGAGAGAAGAAAGCACAAGUACUUCAAAACUACAUUUGGAACAAAACUGUUUGUUUCAAGAGGAGAUAGAGGUUUGAACAUUGCUUGAUAUGAAACUUUUGCAUUUAAGAAAAAAUAUAUAAAGUAUAAAUGAAUAUUUAUUAAUACAUCUAUGGAAAAAAAAAAGGAAAUAAUGUUUGCAAAAGCACUUACAUGACUCAUUUUUAUUCGCAUUCUCUUUCCUCAGUGGAGAGAAUCACUAAGAGUAUAUUAAAAAAAAAAAAAAUUGUGAGUACUUUCAAUUUAAACUGGCUUAUUCUCCAUUUUCUGUUGUGGGCUGGGUCAAUAUAU